GACGAACGCUGGCGGCGUGCUUAACACAUGCAAGUCGAACGGAAAGGCCCUGCUUUUGUGGGGUGCUCGAGUGGCGAACGGGUGAGUAACACUUGAGUAACCUGCCCUUGACUUUGGGAUAACUUCAGGAAACUGGGGCUAAUACCGGAUAGGAGCUCCUGCUGCAUGGUGGGGGUUGGAAAGUUUCGGCGGUUGGGGAUGGACUCGCGGCUUAUCAGCUUGUUGGUGGGGUAGUGGCUUACCAAGGCUUUGCCCGGUAGCAUAGCUGAGAGGCUGACCUGCCAAGUUGGGACUGGACUACGGCACAGCCUCGUACGGGAGGCAGCAGUGGAGAAUAGUGUACAAUGGGCGGAAGCCUGAUGCAGCAACGCCGCGUGCGGGAUGACGGCCAGCGGGUUGUAAACCGAUUUCGCCUGUGCUGAAGAGUGAGUGACGGUAAUGGGUGAAGAAGCACCGGCUAACUACGUG
rnacentral:rRNA from 1 species